rnacentral:tRNA from 1 species
GGGCGUUUAGCUCAGUUGGCUAGAGCGCUACCCUUACAAGGUAGAUGUCAUAGGUUCGAGUCCUAUAACGCCCACCA